rnacentral:rRNA from 1 species
AAAAGUCGUAACAAGGUUUCCGUAGGUGAACCUGCGGAAGGAUCAUUAUCGUACAACGGAGGCACGAGGGCUGUCGCUGACUCUAAAGGUCGUGCACGCCCCCGAGUCCUCUCUCACAUGUCCAUCUCACCCUUUGUGCAUCACCGCGUGGGUCCCCUUUUGGUUCGUUCCAAAGGGGUGCUCGCGUUUUUAAUACAAACACUUUUUUUGUACUGCAGUGUAGAAUGUCCUUUAUGCGGUGACACGCAAUCAAUACAACUUUCAACAACGGAUCUCUUGGCUCUCGCAUCGAUGAAGAACGCAGCGAAAUGCGAUACGUAAUGUGAAUUGCAGAAUUCAGUGAAUCAUCGAAUCUUUGAACGCACCUUGCGCCCCUUGGCAUUCCGAGGGGCACACCCGUUUGAGUGUCGUGACAUCCUCAACCUUCUCGGUUUCUUGAUCUGGAAGGCUUGGAAUUUGGAGGUUUUUGCUGGUCUCUCUUGAAGCCAGCUCCUCUUAAAUGAAUUAGUGGGGUACACUUUGCUGAUCCUUGACGUGUUAAGAUGUUUCUACGUCUUGGGUAUUGCUCUGUCCCUUUGGGGGUUGGAACCCACUUCCAACUGUCUCUUCGAGACACUGUUCGGGCCUCAUCAGCUCGAUCCACGGAACCUUGACCUCAAAUCGGGUGAGACUACCCGCUGAACUUAAGCAUAUCAAU